rnacentral:rRNA from 2 species
GACGAACGCGCGCGUGCUAUACAUGCAAGUCGAGCGACUCUCGGAGGUCAGCGCGGACGGGUGAGUAACACGUGGGCAACCUGCCUGUAAGACUGGGAUAAAUCCGGGAACCGGAGCUAAUACCGGAUAGUAUCUUGAACCGCAUGGUUCAAGUUGGAAAGACGGUUUCGGCUGUCACUUACAGAUGGGCCCGCGGCGCAUUAGCUAGUUGGUGAGGUAAUGGCUCACCAAGGCAACGAUGCGUAGCCGACCUGAGAGGGUGAUCGGCCACACUGGGACUGAGACACGGCCCAGACUCCUACGGGAGGCAGCAGUAGGGAAUCUUCCGCAAUGGACGAAAGUCUGACGGAGCAACGCCGCGUGAGUGAUGAAGGUUUUCGGAUCGUAAAACUCUGUUGUUAGGGAAGAACAAGUGCGAGAGUAACUGCUCGCACCUUGACGGUACCUAACCAGAAAGCCACGGCUAACUACGUGCCAGCAGCCGCGGUAAUACGUAGGUGGCAAGCGUUGUCCGGAAUUAUUGGGCGUAAAGCGCGCGCAGGCGGUUUCUUAAGUCUGAUGUGAAAGCCCCCGGCUCAACCGGGGAGGGUCAUUGGAAACUGGGAAACUUGAGUGCAGAAGAGGAGAGUGGAAUUCCACGUGUAGCGGUGAAAUGCGUAGAGAUGUGGAGGAACACCAGUGGCGAAGGCGACUCUCUGGUCUGUAACUGACGCUGAGGCGCGAAAGCGUGGGGAGCGAACAGGAUUAGAUACCCUGGUAGUCCACGCCGUAAACGAUGAGUGCUAAGUGUUAGAGGGUUUCCGCCCUUUAGUGCUGCAGCUAACGCAUUAAGCACUCCGCCUGGGGAGUACGGUCGCAAGACUGAAACUCAAAGGAAUUGACGGGGGCCCGCACAAGCGGUGGAGCAUGUGGUUUAAUUCGAAGCAACGCGAAGAACCUUACCAGGUCUUGACAUCCUUUGCCACUUCUAGAGAUAGAAGGUUCCCCUUCGGGGGACAAAGUGACAGGUGGUGCAUG